GGACCUGCGGUGCAUUAGCUAGUUGGUAGGGUAACGGCCUACCCAAGGCGAUGAUGCAUAGCCCGAGUUGAGAGACUGAUCGGGCCACAUUGGGACUGAGACACGGCCAAAACUCCUACGGGAGGCAGCAGUAGGGAAUCUUCCACAAUGGACGCAAGUCUGAUGGAGCAACGCCGCGUGAGUGAAGAAGGGUUUCGGCUCGUAAAAGCUCUGUUGUUGGUGAAGAAGGACAGGGGUAGUAACUGACCUUUGUUUGACGGUAAUCAAUUAGAAAGUCACGGCUAACUACGUGCCAGCAGCCGCGGUAAA
rnacentral:rRNA from 1 species